CUGGGCAUGCGGCGCAUUAGCUUGACGGCGGGGUAACGGCCCACCGUGGCGACGAUGCGUAGGGGUUCUGAGAGGAAGGCCCCCCACACUGGAACUGAGACACGGUCCAGACUCCUACGGGAGGCAGCAGUGAGGAAUAUUGGUCAAUGGGCGGAAGCCUGAACCAGCCAAGUCGCGUGAGGGAAUAAGGCCCUACGGGUCGUAAACCUCUUUUGCCGGGGAGCAAGGGCCGGGACGAGUCCCGGUCCGGAGAGUACCCGGAGAAAAAGCAUCGGCUAACUCCGUGCCAGCAGCCGCGGUAAUACGGAGGAUGCGAGCGUUAUCCGGAUUUAUUGGGUUUAAAGGGUGCGUAGGCGGGCUUUUAAGUCAGCGGUAAAAAUUCGGGGCUCAACCCCGUCCGGCCGUUGAAACUGGGGGUCUUGAGUGGGCGAGAAGAAGGCGGAAUGCGUGGUGUAGCGGUGAAAUGCAUAGAUAUCACGCAGAACCCCGAUUGCGAAGGCAGCCUUCCGGCGCCCUACUGACGCUGAGGCACGAAAGUGCGGGGAUCGAACAGGAUUAGAUACCCUGGUAGUCCGCACAGUAAACGAUGGAUGCCAGCUGUCCGGGCCGAAUGGGGCCUGG
rnacentral:rRNA from 1 species